GGAAGUUCCUGUGAAUUUCAGGUUCACAUAAGGCAAAAGAUGAGCAGGCCGCUUGAGGAAAAAAAUCCUGUAAGUCUUUUGGUUUAUGUCAGAGACUGUAAUCAAAGAGAAACAAUAACCCCUUAUUUAAUUUUGCCACAUUAUUUUAUACAUUAAUCAAGAUAUUGUCCAUGAAAUGUUCAAUUAUGUCUUAUAAUAAAAUAUUUGUUUUGAAUGCGUCAUACACAUGUCUGGUAUAGAGAUAAGUCCACAGAAUUAUCAUCAUAUCUGUUUCUCAGAAAAACAAACUGAUGCAAAGUUUAACCUGUGUGCUUGAGGUCACAGUUAGUAAAAAAUGGUUAUGAAUUCCAACCCUGGUGUUUUAACCUAAAAACAUUGAGUAAACUUAUACAAGUGUGUGUCGAAUUUUCCUUUUUAAACACUCAAAGAGAAGAGAGUCAUUGCUUACUUGUAUUUGACACUGAAGAAUGAACCACCUUUCUCAAGAAAGGGCUGACAACUAUACUGGGAGCUGAGUAG
rnacentral:lncRNA from 1 species